rnacentral:rRNA from 1 species
AUUGAACGCUGGCGGCAGGCCUAACACAUGCAAGUCGAACGAGUGGCGGACGGGUGAGUAAUGUCUGGGAAACUGCCUGAUGGAGGGGGAUAACUAUUGGAAACGGUAGCUAAUACCGCAUACCAUCAGAUGUGCCCAGAUGGGAUUAGCUAGUAGGUGGGGUAACGGCUCACCUAGGCUACGAUCCCUAGCUGGUCUGAGAGGAUGACCAGCCACACUGGAACUGAGACACGGUCCAGACUCCUACGGGAGGCAGCAGUGGGGAAUCUUCCGCAAUGGGCGAAAGCCUGAUGGAGCAAUGCCGCGUGUAUGAAGAAGGCCUUCGGGUUGUAAAAUACUGUCAGCGGGGAGGCGGUACCCACAGAGAAAGCACCGGCUAACUCCGUGCCAGCAGCCGCGGUAAUAC